CUCUGAAUCUCCACAUCGACUUAGACGAAGAUGGGUUUAUGUGGCUGGAUUGCUAUGGUACAUAGUGGGUGUUGAAUUUUUGAGUUUGCUUGAUUUCUCUGGAUGUUUUCGUUGGCUGGGUUUCUUGAGUAAUAGAGUCGGUGCUAGCUUUCAAAUUGGGUUGUUGUUUGUACCAGUCUUUCACCUAUUUGCUGCUGGGAACUAAAGCUUGAGGUAAGCAGUCUAUGAGUGGACGAGUUGGUGAGAUACCAAAGUUGUCUUAAGCAUUAUGGGGUUAUGUUCGAUGUAUAUGUGUAUUGUGUUGGACUUUGCUGCUUGGUUUGAUAGUUUUGAGCUACUAAAGGCUAGUUGUCAUCCAUGUCUUCUAUUUUAUUUUGCUACUACAUUAUAGGAUGGAAAAACAAAUUGUGUAGAGGUGAAGUGUUAACCUAGAGCCUUAGUGCUCUCUUUGUCUUUGUGUUGUAAAACUUUGCCAGUAAAGUGGCUCUUUUGAGGUUGUAAAGUUCUUUUAU